AAGGAAAACAGAAACAAGACCUACAGGCACUCUUCGUACCUGGUGAAAGGUGGUGCAUGGUUGUCCUCAGCUCGUGUCGUGAGAUGUUGGGUUAAGUCCCGCAACGAGCGCCACCCUCCUUUUUUGUUUCCCGCACGUUAUGGGGGGAACUCCUGGGAUACUGCCGGGGUCAACUCGGAGGAAGGGGGGGAUGACC
rnacentral:rRNA from 1 species